UCUCCGUUGGUGAACCAGCGGAUGGAUCAUUACCGAGUUUACAACUCCCAAACCCAAUGUGAACCAUACCAAACUGUUGCCUCGGCGGGGUCACGCCCCGGGUGCGUCGCAGCCCCGGAACCAGGCGCCCGCCGGAGGGACCAACCAAACUCUUUCUGUAGUCCCCUCGCGGACGUUAUUUUUACAGCUCUGAGCAAAAAUUCAAAAUGAAUCAAAACUUUCAACAACGGAUCUCUUGGUUCUG
rnacentral:misc_RNA from 1 species